rnacentral:tRNA from 1 species
GUCCCGGCCGGCCGUGACGAACGAGGCCGGCCCCUCGACCGGGCCGGCGGGCGUCCGCCCGUCCCCCUGGUCCGGCUCCCGGCCGGCGCCC